UGCGGGCAUGGCCAGCAGCUCACAGAGCGCAUGCCGUACCCCUACUAUGAAAUGGGAGGCUUGGCUUUUGAUCGCGUCAUUCAUGUGAAGCCAUGCACCUCUCAACAGGCUACACCCCUUUUCAGCGCUGCACGGCUUCGCUGCGCAUGGAGUCCCGUCUUGAACAAUCAAGAUGUUGGGAGGUCAGUCACGUCCUGCUGAACCCUUCGACGGCAUCCGACCACAGCUCCAACCGAACAGCCUCUGCCCUCGCUCAGCCCCGGCAGUUUUAUUUCUAACCUCCUCCUCGAAUGCUCGUGCUCCUCCCGUGA